rnacentral:rRNA from 1 species
AAACUUCACACUGGGGGCAACCCCGAUGAGGGAAAUCCUAGUGCUAGGACAUUUGUUCUAGCUUUUCUCAAGCGUAGAUAACUUGAGGAAUAAGGGCUGGGUAAGACGGGUGCCAGCCGCCGCGGUAAUACCUGCAGCCCAAGUGGUGGUCGAUUUUAUUGAGUCUAAAACGUUCGUAGCCGGUUUGGUAAAUCUUUGGGUAAAUCGGGAGGCUCAACUUUCCGACUUCCGAAGAGACUGUCAAACUUGGGACCGGGAGAGGCUAGAGGUACUUCUGGGGUAGGGGUAAAAUCCUGUAAUCCUAGAAGGACCACCGGUGGCGAAGGCGUCUAGCUAGAACGGAUCCGACGGUGAGGGACGAAGCCCUGGGUCGCAAACGGGAUUAGAUACCCCGGUAGUCCAGGGUGUAAACGCUGCCGACUUGGUGUUGGAGGCCCUUCGGGGGCAUUCAGCGCCGGAGAGAAGUUGUUAAGUCGGCUACUUGGGGAGUACGUCGCAGGAUGAACUUAAGAAUU